UACGUAGGUGGCGAGCGUUGUCCGGAUUUACUGGGCGUAAAGGGCUUGUAGGCGGUCCGCUAAGUCUGGUGUGAAAUCUCCCGGCUCAACUGGGAGGGGUCAUCGGAUACUGGCGGACUUGAGGGGGGUAGAGGAAAGCAGAAUUCCUGGUGUAGCGGUGAAAUGCGUAGAUAUCAGGAGGAACACCGGCGGUGUAGACGGCUUUCUGGACCGUAGCUGACGCUGAGACACGAAAGCGUGGGUAGCAAACAGG
rnacentral:rRNA from 1 species